ACUCAAUGUGUCAAAAAUUCAGAAAAUGCCUAACUUGAUUCUGCUGGUGCGCUACCCCAUCCAAAGGAACAAAAGAGAAUUAAUUCUUUACGUAUUCAUUUAUUCAGCAUACUAAAAAGCAGAGACAUCACCCUGCCAACAAAAAUAGACAGAUUGAAGCAGCUCUGAUUGGUACCGCUGCUAUUCCCUCAAUCCUUCUGCAGAUUCAGCUGCUGCUGAUCUGGACACUCUCUAAGCUGCAGCUCUUCUUCCUGUUUCUCAAGGUCAAUCCAACAUACCAUUACAUCUUGUGACUUCAUCUGAUGCCCAGCUCGGAUGUCAUUCCUCAUAUUCCAAGAUUAACAAAUAAACACUCAUCUUUUUAAA